GCCGUUGAACAGAGUGUUGAUUGCUACUCUCGCAACCCUCACCCAUAUUUUGAUCUUCUUCUCCAGAAUCUCCCAUUCCAGUUUCUGCAUCUGCGUAGAGGUUAGCUUCUCGAACCCUAGAUGAGACAAUGCGUCGACGAUGAUCUUUUUUCGAAACUUCUUGUAGAUUUUAACACAAUCCUUCUCGUAACCAGAAGAGAUCAUGCAAUUUGCUAUCAUCUUCAGAUCCACAAUAGCUUCAGAAUUUCCUCCUCUGUCGUUACCUAAUUCCGAUGAAGAUUCGGAAUCAAGCUCUCCAUCUGAUGAAGAAUCCGAAGCGGUUCCACUUGAU
rnacentral:lncRNA from 1 species